rnacentral:rRNA from 1 species
UACGUAGGGGGCAAGCGUUGUCCGGAAUCAUUGGGCGUAAAGAGCGUGUAGGCGGCUCGAUAAGUCUGCUGUGAAAGUCCAGGGCUCAACCCUGGAAGGCCGGUGGAAACUGUCGGGCUAGAGUCCGGAAGAGGCGAGUGGAAUUCCCGGUGUAGCGGUGAAAUGCGCAGAUAUCAGGAGGAACACCAAUGGCGAAGGCAGCACUCUGGGACGGUACUGACGCUGAGACGCGAAAGCGUGGGGAGCAAACAGG